CCUACGGGAGGCAGCAGUGGGGAAUUUUGGACAAUGGGCGAAAGCCUGAUCCAGCCAUGCCGCGUGAGUGAAGAAGGCCUUCGGGUUGUAAAGCUCUUUCAGACGGAAAGAAAUAGCCUCGGUGAAUAAUCGAGGUUGAUGACGGUACCGUAAGAAGAAGCACCGGCUAACUACGUGCCAGCAGCCGCGGUAAUACGUAGGGUGCGAGCGUUAAUCGGAAUUACUGGGCGUAAAGCGUGCGCAGGCGGUUACAUAAGACAGAUGUGAAAUCCCCGGGCUUAACCUGGGAACUGCGUUUGUGACUGUGUGACUAGAGUACGGUAGAGGGGGGUGGAAUUCCUGGUGUAGCAGUGAAAUGCGUAGAUAUCAGGAGGAACAUCGAUGGCGAAGGCAGCCCCCUGGACCUGUACUGACGCUCAUGCACGAAAGCGUGGGGAGCAAACAGGAUUAGAUACCCUGGUAGUCCACGCCCUAAACGAUGUCGACUAGUUGUUCGGGAAGGUGACUUCUUGAGUAACGUAGCUAACGCGUGAAGUCGACCGCCUGGGGAGUACGGCCGCAAGGUUAAAACUCAAAUGAAUUGACGG
rnacentral:rRNA from 1 species